CCUAACACGAAGAGGGAAAAGUGACGACGACAAGCUAGAGUGAAGAGAUCGACACGGAGCGCUUGAAGAUAUUUAGUGCAGUUAAUAACUUAAAGUUGAACUAAUUUAGUUACCGGUGGAUGUCGGGGUUGUGGCCCUCCCUGAACAACAUUAGCGGUUGCCUCGUUCGGCGGGAGAGCGGCGUAAAUCUGUGGGGGAGGGCUUUUCUUACAAGUUUCUGAUCUGCUUCGACGUGGGCCAUCUCCGCACUCGGGACCACACGAGGACGUCCGCCAUUGCUCGGCUAAGUGCUGUCAGAGGAUUUGAAAGAAACUACGUCGUUGGAGGAACAGUGAGUAAUCAAAGUUGCCUUGUGGAUUAUAAGAUUAUAAGAGCUCCAACAGAGCGCCAACCUAUGCUACCACAACGUGAACCUUAAAACCUUUUAGUAUGUUAAACUUGUAUAAGGACUUGUCUGUCCUAGUUUCAGGCGAUUUUGUUGGUACCUGUGAAUAUAAUGGGCUAUUAAGACUUGAUUACUGACGUGUGCAUGGUAGUUGAAGCUCACGGUAACAGUACACAGCUAUUUAUUCAGCUGUCCUGGCCUCUCUGCAUCCUAGGUUGCCAUACACCCGUGGGGGUAAGUGCAUGUAUAUACCAGUGUUUUAUAUUUUAGUAGCUCUCACCAAUUCACCUCCCAUGCAAUAUUGUCCAUCAGGUGUCAGUGUGUAUGACAAUUGAAUUGAGUAAGUGGGCUACACUUGUGUAUAUACUGUAUACUUUUAGUGACAUUCUUGUUUGGUGUGUCGUAAGACUUAAUGUAAAACGAUAAAGGUUGGGAAACACUGCAACCAAAGUUAACUUUGAUAUCAUUGUGAGGGCAGCUCUCGUACUGGAUCCCAUUAAAACAUGCAUUUAAACAAAUAACAUUACACAUCACAGACUUGCAUACAUGACAAAAAUAAAUCAGUGUUUUUAACCUUGA